UGGGGAAUCUUGCGCAAUGGGCGAAAGCCUGACGCAGCGACGCCGCGUGGGUGACGAAGGCCUUCGGGUUGUAAAGCCCUGUGGGGGGAGACGAACCGGGCUAUGGCUAAUAUCCAUGGUCCUUGACGGUAUCCCUUUAGCAAGCAUCGGCUAACUCUGUGCCAGCAGCCGCGGUAAUACAGAGGAUGCAAACGUUGCUCGGAAUUACUGGGCGUAAAGCGCGCGCAGGUGGUCUCGUAAGUCGGGCGUGAAAUCCCGGGGCUCAACCUCGGAAGUGCACUCGAUACUGCAAGACUCGAGUACUGGAGAGGAUCGCGGAAUUCCCGGUGUAGAGGUGAAAUUCGUAGAUAUCGGGAGGAACACCAGUGGCGAAGGCGGCGAUCUGGACAGAUACUGACACUGAGGCGCGAAAGCGUGGGAAGCAAACAGG
rnacentral:rRNA from 1 species